rnacentral:lncRNA from 1 species
GUUUCUUUGUUAAUCAGUUUAAUUACUCUCCUGUUACCCUAUCUCCAAAGAUAUCAGUUUCAUUAUCUGGCCAGUUGGGACCAUCAAGGGAUGAAGGAUAAGAGUUUUUCUGCCUUUAUGUUGUGCUAAUGACUACACUGCUAAGCAUUAAGUUCCACCUCCUCUGCUUGGUUUUCCUUUGCAUCUCUAUGAAGCUUUGGAAUUAUAUAUUCAGGGCAGUUUUGGAUGUGGGAACAGAAAAAUGGCCAGCUGUGCUUAGCAG